GAGUUUGAUCCUGGCUCAGGAUGAACGCUGGCGGCGUGCCUAACACAUGCAAGUCGAACGGAGAACUUAAGUGGAAGUUUUCGGAUGGAAACUUUUGUUCUUAGUGGCGGACGGGUGAGUAACGCGUGGGCAACCUGCCUCAUACAGGGGGACAACAGACGGAAACGUCUGCUAAGACCGCAUACGUCUUUUUGGUCGCAUGACUGAGAAGGGAAAAGAGCAAUCUGGUCUGAGAUGGGCCCGCGUCUGAUUAGCUAGUUGGUAGGGUAACGGCUUACCAAGGCGACGAUCAGUAGCCGGACUGAGAGGUCGGACGGCCACAUUGGGACUGAGACACGGCCCAAACUCCUACGGGAGGCAGCAGUGGGGGAUAUUGCACAAUGGAGGAAACUCUGAUGCAGCGACGCCGCGUGAGUGAAGAAGUAUUUCGGUAUGUAAAGCUCUAU
rnacentral:rRNA from 1 species